UCUGGAAACUNUCUGACUUGAGUGCAGAAGGGGAGAGUGGAAUUCCAUGUGUAGCGGUGAAAUGCGUAGAUAUAUGGAGGAACACCAGUGGCGAAAGCGGCUCUCUGGUCUGUCACUGACGCUGAGGCUCGAAAGCGUGGGUAGCGAACAGGAUUAGAUACCCUGGUAGUCCACGCCGUAAACGAUGAGUGCUAGGUGUUAGGCCCUUUCCGGGGCUUAGUGCCGGAGCUAACGCAAUAAGCACUCCGCCUGGGGAGUACGACCGCAAGGUUGAAACUCAAAGGAAUUGACGGGGGCCCGCACAAGCGGUGGAGCAUGUGGUUUAAUUCGAAGCAACGCGAAGAACCUUACCAGGUCUUGACAUCCCGAUGCUAUUCUUAGAGAUAGGAAGUUACUUCGGUACAUCGGAGACAGGUGGUGCAUGGUUGUCGUCAGCUCGUGUCGUGAGAUGUUGGGUUAAGUCCCGCAACGAGCGCAACCCUUAUUGUUAGUUGCCAUCAUUAAGUUGGGCACUCUAGCGAGACUGCCGGUAAUAAACCGGAGGAAGGUGGGGAUGACGUCAAAUCAUCAUGCCCCUUAUGACCUGGGCUACACACGUGCUACAAUGGUCGGUACAACGAGUUGCGAGCCGGUGACGGCAAGCUAAUCUCUGAAAGCCGAUCUCAGUUCGGAUUGGAGGCUGCAACUCGCCUCCAUGAAGUCGGAAUCGCUAGUAAUCGCGGAUCAGCACGCCGCGGUGAAUACGUUCCCGGGCCUUGUACACACCGCCCGUCACACCACGAGAGUUUGUAACACCCGAAGUCGGUGAGGUANCCUUUUAGGGGCCAGCCG
rnacentral:rRNA from 1 species